GACGAACGCUGGCGGCGCGCUUAACACAUGCAAGUCGAACGGAAAGGCCUGCUUUCCCUUGUGGAUUGCGGGUACUCGCGUGGCGAACGGGUGAGUAACACGUGAGUGAUCUGCCCCCAACUUGGGUAUAAGCCUGGGAAACUGGGUCUAAUUCCCGAUAGGACUGCAGGGUGGUGCCUGUGGUGGAAAACGAUUUUCUAGUGGUUGGGGAUGAGCUCGCGGCGUAUCAGCUUGUUGGUGGGGUAAUGGCCUACCAAGGCGGCGACGGGUAGCCGGCCUGGGAGGGUAGACGGCCCGAGUGGGACUGAGAUACGGCCCGGACUCCGACGGGAGGCAGCAGUGGGGAAUAGUGCACAAUGGGGGGAAGCCUGAAGUAGGGGCGCGGCGUGGGGAAUGACGGCCUUCGGGUUGUGAACUCCUUUCGGCCGCGAAGAAGCCACCUGGUUGGAAGGAUAGUGACGGUAGUGGAAGAAGAAGCACCGGCUAACUACGUG
rnacentral:rRNA from 1 species